AAGACAAAGAUGACUUUCAUAACCCUGAUGAUGUUUUAAUUUGGGAUUCUACUGGCAAGCUAAAAUACCAGUUAAAAUAAGUAGCAGAUUCAGUAGUGGCAAGCUGAGAUAGAAAUAGAACAAGCCAAACAGUCAAAAAUUCCUCCUUGCCCGGAACUAACAUGACACAUAGGAAAGAAACUUCAGUUCCAGCGGGUCAAGAAAAGACAAGAGCCCAGGACCCCGCGGUGAUUCAGAUUUCUUUAGACACCUACAGCUGCUCACAUUCAUUCUCAGGAGCAAAAUUCAUGCAGCAAAAUCAGUGCUGCUGCUGCCCUACCCCUCCCUGCGUUUUCCCUGCAAACCAACCCUGCGGGCUGGGAUCCCGCGAGUGUAACACGAUCUGGAGCUAACGGUGCAGGACUAAGCCUUGCCCUCAUAAAUCAUUGAUUAAUAAAUACCAGAAAGCAAAGCUACAGACCUUAAUCCCUGCAAAGCCUGGCGAGUGCCAUGGCUGUGAUCCUGGGAGGGCUCUCCCCACAGGGUGCACAAGGAGCACAAGUGUGAACAGCCCCAGCACUGCUGGGCACCACACAGCUUCACAGGGCAGCUCUGCCACAGGUGAAUGCUCACACUCCAAAUUUCCAAAAUUCCAUUUCUCCAAAACAGCUCCAAAUUUCUCAGCCCCUCCUCCCAUCAAAGCAGGGAGGAUGUGCUGGCAGAGGCACCGAUGCCCUACAGUCAUUUUGGAGGUGAAGUUUGCAAGGAGAGAAGGGGAAAUGUCUUUUGUAGCAGGAUGUAAAAAGUUUAACCUUGACAAGUAAAUAAGAAAUGAAACAGCCAGCGAUUAUUUCGGAAACCUCAAAGCAAAUUAUCUGAGAAACAUUUUACUGAGUCCCAUACAACUGCUCCAUAUAUUUUAAACAGUCAAAGGGUCACUGUCCUUUUGUUUUUAUCCCAGCAUUUUUCUUGACCUGGGGCUAAGGCUACUGGUGUCAUUUCAGCUGGGGUUUCUCUCUUUUUAUGACAUGUCCUGUGCUCAUGGGUAGACUUCUUGAAACUGGCUUGUGACUGCCCUGAGAAAUCUUUCUGAUCUGAGAGAGGGAGCGAGAUGAAAAGAAAACAUUAAUGGGAAGAGAACUACAAGGCUAUGGUGGCAGAGGCAUCCUCGGGCUGGCAUUGCCUCCCUCCCUGCUCAUCCCCCAAAAACCAGCCACUGUCUCACUUACAGCUGAUCCCAGGAGGGCCAGACCUGAUGCAGGCACGGCUUGCAGAGAGACUCCAUCUAUAUUCCCAGCUGGUUCACCUGUUUUCUGCAAAUUUUGCAGUUACCCUGCAGACAGAUCAAUGCUGUGAUUUGCUUCCAGCAGGGUGGUGGGAACCCCCUCUGGCAUUUCCUAUUUUUAAACAACUGAAGUUGUUUUGUAUUUCCUAAACCAUAUUGAUCCACAAGGCUAAUGAUAGUUUUUCUCAAAGCUCUAUUUUGUUCGCUCUGUCACAGAGGGAGCCCUGGAAAUUACAAUUAGUGAUAUAGGAAACGAUUGAAAUCUAUUUUACUGCACAAGUCUGCUCCUGCUAUGUGCAAAGCAGAACAAUAACCACAAAUUCAGUUGCUCCCACAUGGAAUCAUGGAUGGAUGACUACACAAGCAAUGAAGAGGGCUUAUAUGGGGUGCAACAGCCACCAUACAUCUUUAUUUUACACCAUAUUGUCUAUUAUAUGAACUAAAAAUAAAAAUAACAUGGGCAAAAUACUACCGUUUGAAUGGACUGAAAUAUAUGCACAGCUCCUCCUCCAAAGUAAUUUAAUUUUUAGUGUGCCAGUGGAAUGAGAAAAUUAGUUUUGUUUUUAAAAUAAUUCCUUAUCCUUAGAGGGGAAAAAGUCAGUCAAACUAUCUUGUUAACAUAAAGGGCAUCUAUCACAAUAAACAUAUUAGAAAGGGACCUCCUCUCUGACACACACACCUACGAAAUAAAAAAGAAAAUCCCACCCAGCCUGUGUUUGGAAGUGGCCAGGUGUGACAGAAAGCAGAAGGAAUAAGCAGGUUUGGGUCACCAAGAGGCUUUUUGUCAUUCCCUCCCAGUACACAUACAGUGCUCCUGCCUGCCCAGGGCUCUGUCAGGGUUCCCUGCUGGAAAGGAUGACACCAGGUGCCCACUCCUUGUCACCUGGUGGUGUCACCUCUAUCUGUCAGAAGGAAUUGUAAUGCUACAAUAAAACACUUCUGGAGAAAUAAAAAUGAAGAAUCAUUCCCUCCUCCCCCCCCAAAAAAAAAAAAAAAAA
ensembl:lncRNA